AAAAAGAUAAGCUAUAAAAGCUAUUAGGUUCAUACCCUAAAUAAAAAGGUAUAAUCCUUUUCUUUUUA
rnacentral:tRNA from 1 species